rnacentral:rRNA from 1 species
UACGUAGGGGGCAAGCGUUGUCCGGAAUUAUUGGGCGUAAAGCGCGUGUAGGCGGCCAGAUAAGUCCGCUGUGAAAUCUCGAGGCUCAACUUCGAGCUGUCGGUGGAAACUGUCUGGCUAGAGUCCGGAAGAGGAGAAUGGAAUUCCUGGUGUAGCGGUGAAAUGCGCAGAUAUCAGGAAGAACACCCGUGGCGAAGGCGGUUCUCUGGGACGGUACUGACGCUGAGGUGCGAAAGCGUGGGGAGCAAACAGG